GAUGAAGAACGCAGCGAAAUGCGAUAAGUAAUGUGAAUUGCAGAAUUCAGUGAAUCAUCGAAUCUUUGAACGCACAUUGCGCCCGCCAGCAUUCUGGCGGGCAUGCCUGUUCGAGCGUCAUUUCAACCAUCAAGCCCCCGGCUUGUGUUGGGGACCUGCGGCUGCCGCAGGCCCUGAAAAGCAGUGGCGGGCUCGCUGUCACACCGAGCGUAGUAGCAUACAUCUCGCUCUGGGCGUGCUGCGGGUUCCGGCCGUUAAACCACCUUCAUAACCCAAGGUUGACCUCGGAUCAGGUAGGAAGACCCGCUGAACUUAAGCAUAUCAAUAAGCGGAGGA
rnacentral:misc_RNA from 1 species